GAUGAACGCUGGCGGCGUGCUUAACACAUGCAAGUCGAACGAGAACCAAUGGAAUGAGGAUUCGUCCAAAGGAAGUUGGGGAAAGUGGCGGACGGGUGAGUAACGCGUGAGCAAUCUGCCUUGGAGUGGGGAAUAACGGCUGGAAACAGCCGCUAAUACCGCAUGAUACAGCUAUCCCGCAUGGGGUUGGCUGUCAAAGAUUUAUCGCUCUGAGAUGAGCUCGCGUCUGAUUAGCUUGUUGGCGGGGUAACGGCCCACCAAGGCGACGAUCAGUAGCCGGACUGAGAGGUUGGCCGGCCACAUUGGGACUGAGACACGGCCCAG
rnacentral:rRNA from 1 species